GGAAACCCAGGCUAAUACCGCAUACGUCCUACGGGAGAAAGGAGGCUUCGGCUCCCGCUAUUGGAUGAGCCUAUGUCGGAUUAGCUAGUUGGUGAGGUAAAGGCUCACCAAGGCAACGAUCCGUAGCUGGUCUGAGAGGAUGAUCAGCCACAUCGGGACUGAGACACGGCCCGAACUCCUACGGGAGGCAGCAGUGGGGAAUAUUGGACAAUGGGGGCAACCCUGAUCCAGCCAUGCCGCGUGUGUGAAGAAGGCCCUCGGGUUGUAAAGCACUUUCAGCGAGGAAGAACGCCUAGCGGUUAAUACCCGUUAGGAAAGACAUCACUCGCAGAAGAAGCACCGGCUAACUCCGUGCCAGCAGCCGCGGUAAUACGGAGGGUGCAAGCGUUAAUCGGAAUUACUGGGCGUAAAGCGCGCGUAGGUGGCUUGAUAAGCCGGUUGUGAAAGCCCCGGGCUCAACCUGGGAACGGCAUCCGGAACUGUCAGGCUAGAGUGCAGGAGAGGAAGGUAGAAUUCCCGGUGUAGCGGUGAAAUGCGUAGAGAUCGGGAGGAAUACCAGUGGCGAAGGCGGCCUUCUGGACUGACACUGACACUGAGGUGCGAAAGCGUGGGUAGCAAACAGGAUUAGAUACCCUGGUAGUCCACGCCGUAAACGAUGUCGACCAGCCGUUGGGUGCCUAGAGCACUUUGUGGCGAAGUUAACGCGAUAAGUCGACCGCCUGGGGAGUACGGCCGCAAGGUUAAAACUCAAAUGAAUUGACGGGGGCCCGCACAAGCGGUGGAGCAUGUGGUUUAAUUCGAUGCAACGCGAAGAACCUUACCUACCCUUGACAUCUACAGAAGCCGGAAGAGAUUCUGGUGUGCCUUCGGGAACUGUAAGACAGGUGCUGCAUGGCUGUCGUCAGCUCGUGUUGUGAAAUGUUGGGUUAAGUCCCGUAACGAGCGCAACCCUUGUCCUUAUUUGCCAGCACGUAAUGGUGGGAACUCUAAGGAGACUGCCGGUGACAAACCGGAGGAAGGUGGGGACGACGUCAAGUCAUCAUGGCCCUUACGGGUAGGGCUACACACGUGCUACAAUGGCCGGUACAAAGGGCUGCGAGCUCGCGAGAGUCAGCGAAUCCCUUAAAGCCGGUCUCAGUCCGGAUCGGAGUCUGCAACUCGACUCCGUGAAGUCGGAAUCGCUAGUAAUCGUGAAUCAGAAUGUCACGGUGAAUACGUUCCCGGGCCUUGUACACACCGCCC
rnacentral:rRNA from 1 species